CUACAGGUAUUCAGAACCCGGCCGGGGUGUCCGAACACUCCGUCGGUAUCGGCUUUUAUCCAGCCAGCCGCCGGGUUUACGUAUUGAGAUGUACGGAGCAUAAGAGC
rfam:Cronobacter sp. DJ34 Bact_A5_38, whole genome shotgun sequence.